AGCGUGGCUGAGUUGGUCAGAGCUAGGGACUGUUUAUCCCUAGGUCGUCGGCUCGAUUCCGUCCAA
rnacentral:tRNA from 1 species